GUGCAGCAGUCGCGAAAACUCCGCAAUACGCGAAAGCGUGACGGGGCCAUCCCGAGUGCCGUCCGCUGAGGAUGGCUUUUCCCCAGUGUAGAUAGCUGGGGGAAUAAGGAGAGGGCAAGUCUGGUGUCAGCCGCCGCGGUAAUACCAGCUCUCCGAGUGGUGGGGAUGUUUAUUGGGCCUGAAGCAUCCGUAGCUGGCUGAGCAAGUUCUCCGUUAAAUCCAGCGAUUUAAUCGUUGGACUGCGGGGGAUACUGUUCGGCUAGGGGGCGGGAGAGGCCGACGGUAUUCUCGGGGUAGGGAUGAAAUCCUAUAAUCCCGGGAAGACCACCAGUGGCGAAGGCUGUCGGCUAGAACGCGCCCGACGGUGAGGGAUGAAAGCUGGGGGGGCGAACCGGAUUAGAUACCCCCGUAGUCC
rnacentral:rRNA from 1 species